ACUGAAGGCCCUGCUCGAAGGUGGGGUAGCGGCUGAUGAAGGUAAUAUCCGGUGUAGCUGGCGCGAUCUCACGCCCCCGGAUCUUCGCCUCGAUCUCCCAUCGUGGCUGCCAUCCCUCGGGUGCGGCGGUCUCGACUCGGCCUCUAAACCUGGGUGGUGGCAGGUCGAGGAACGCACAAAGUGCCGCCAAUGGGGCACUGAACAACUGGUCGUCAUCCGUGGAGGGGUAGUAGACGCGGGUGAACGGCGGUACAUUGCCGAACGGUGUUGGGCUUCCCAUCUAUAGAAAAAUAAAGAAGGAGAUAAGGGAGUAUCAGUGACAUGAUCAUAUGGUCGAAUGUAAGUAAAAAUAAAAUAAAUGUGGCAGAGUGGAUAUCAAGUGAUAAACAUUAAUAUCAAGGAUGGAAAUGUAAAUAUAAAAUUGGAUGCAUAGUAAUAUGUGAAUAACAAGGCAACAUGAUUAUAGUGGUGUAUGGUGUAAAAAUCGAAUAUGCAUCUGUGGUAUAAUAUAUUAAGCAUGCAUAUGUGGUAAUAAACAUAGUAUUCGGUGUAUAUGUGGAAUAAAACAAUAAACAUGUCAUGCAUAUGUAGAUAUAAAUGCAAAGAUUUAGAUGAAUAGGGAUAAGGAAUAAAAUGUAUGUAUAUAGAUAUAGAUCAGAUAGGGAUGAGAAAUAUUCCUAAGGUUUGGUCUUUGGUCUGUCUUAUCCUAAUCCAAACUAGGGUCACGUUCCUACAGGCAACACAUUGCUCUGAUACCAUCUGUAGCGAUCCCGUCUGUAACAUCCCAAAAUUUCAAACCUUUACAUGUGCAUUGCAUCCAUGAGCAUCAUGCCACAAUUGCAUGUUUGAGUUCAAAUUUUGAAUCACAAAAGGCUUUAAGAGAUUUUGUUUACAUCCCUGUAACCUUUGGAUUUUCAAACCAAUAGGGUUGAUGCAUAAAAAGGGUUUAAUGCAUAUAUAAGCUAUCCCAUAAUUUUUUGUUAACUAAUUGGAGUUGAAAAAGUAUUUUAUUCAAACAGAUAUAUAGCCCUAAAGUCAUUUAUAGGGCGAAUGUAUUUUUAUAUAUUUUAUUUUGAAGAGAAACUACUUCCAAAAGUUGCAUCAUGGUAGAACAAGAUUUUACAAAUUUUCUAGAAUUCUUUUGGACCAAUUUGGAGUUCAAACUCAAAAUAUAUUAAAGAAAUGGGAAAAACAGAAAAAGAAAAGGUCUAAAAGAAAAAAAAAAAGGGGUAAACGGACCGGCC
rnacentral:lncRNA from 1 species